GUAUUUCAAACUAAAUUUAAAACGACGGCAACAUGAGCAAACAAUAAAUAAAACAUUAUCUACUAACUGUCAGUGUUAAAACAAUGUAUUUUAAACCAAUCAGACCUAUGGAAAUAACGUAUUUUAACCAUUUGCUACAACCAAAGUUGGUUAAUGAGUCUGGAAGAAGCCGUGGGUCUUCACAAAUUGAGAUAGAAUGCUUAAUUAAUUAAAAUGUAUUAAUCUAAUUAAUAUAUGCUAUAUUUAUCACAUAUUAGGAUAAUAUUAUUAUUAUCAUCAUUAUUACAGUACAGGACAAGGUUCUGUGGACGCAUGGGUGUAUUAUUAAACGAUCUGGAACAUCUGCAACAUGUGGAGUCAAAUGUCGGCUGAUGUUGCAAAGGUGUUUGUUGUUUCAGGGCGAAAUGCUGUAAAUGAGGGAAACUCAGAUCCUGAAGGAGAAUGUUACUGUAGCUCAUCAACAAAAUGAACACAGACAUCACAGUACAAAGCAAAACGACUGAGUCUGGACACAAACUAUCAAUGUGUGUAAAGUUCAGGGAGUAAUUAUUUUAUCACUUCAGGGACUUUAGUAUUAAGCUUUUGUGUUGAAUCUAUUUUGUGUUGCCAUGGUUUUGAUGUUAGAUUCAGUUUGAAGACACUCGGACACAAAAAGCAGAAAUCAGGAGGGGUCCAGUGUUUCUCACAGCAACGUACGAGGCUCCUCCUACUGACUGCACAUGUGGCUGCUUCACAGCUGGAUUGCAGCUGUGAUCAUCAGACCCACAACAACAGUGUGUCACCUCUGAACAUGGACACACUCGCUGCACUUCUGUUCGUUUCAGCUCUCGUAGGUAACAGCUUGGAAGAUGAUAUUACUGCCAUCAGAACUGAAGUGUUUUCAUCAGAGGGUCGAAGCGUUACUCUCUCCUGUAAAUACUCAGUUAAAGCUGAUAAUCUCCAGUGGUACCGACAGGAUGCUGGAUCAGCUCCUCAGUAUCUACUCCUGAUCACUGAUACGAAACAGCCUGAAGUGAUUCACGCAAAGCCCUCAAACCCUCGACUGACUGCUAAACUGAACGACCAGAGAAAUCAAGUGGAUCUGGAGAUCUCCUCUGCUGCAGUGUCUGACUCUGCUGUGUACUACUGUGCUCUGAGGCCCACAGUGACAGGAAACACCUCAACUCUGUACAAAAACCUCUGGAGCAAAGACAACACAAUGCUCCACAGCAUCCACCAGAGGGAGACACUGUGAGAAACUUUAGGAGUUUCAGACCAGAAAUGCUUGAACAACUAUGAAACUCAUCUAAUACAUCUGUGUCUUGUUGGGGAUAUGAAAGGAGCAUGAUAACUGGGAUUAUAGCUCCUGAGUGGUAAUAGUUAUGCUAUAAUAACAAUUAGGUUCACAAACGCUGGUUCCCCAAUGUUCUUGUUCUUCUUUGUUUUUUGUUCUUGCUGUUAUUUGUCCUCAGAGAUAUUUUGAACACACUCAUCUGUGGAGUUUGGUUUCAAUCACUCAUCUACUGAUGAACUUUAUUUGUUAUGAUGCAAGUUUAACGUGUUCAUCAUUCUAUCAAGAGUGUUUCCUUGAUCAAUACUCUAAGUCCUCUGUUGUAAAUAUACUGCAUUUUAAUCAUUGAAACAUUUUUUUGCUGAAGACUCGUUAGCUGUGACUUUUUUUUUCAGACACUUUCUCCUUCUGCUCUGCAAUAAAAGUGACUACCUGUGUGUCCAGAACUGUAACAUCUUUAUCUGAUGUGCUUGGUGCAAGAAAUAUUUUCCCAUGUACUGUGAUUAUGCACCGGCCCAGGGUGGAAACCAUUCAUAUAACGAAGCUGUACUUCCUUCCCUCUUUGAGUGAGAGGAAGUUGCCUGUGCUGUAAACUGCUCACUCCUGCGCAAGUAAAAAUCCUGAAGAAGGUCUCACUUGUUUGUGUCU